ACUUAAUGUCACGGUACCCAAUUUUCUGCCCC
rnacentral:misc_RNA from 1 species